AAUAAUAGCUUAGGAUAUGUUUAAGAAUCACAGAUUAGCAUAGAUAGUAAAUUAAGUACGAAAACGAAUCACUUUCCUUAUCAAUAGUCCGGUUCACAUUGAUGUUUAUACUGGUAGAUUUCUCAAGUAAUAGCUCCAAAUGAUUAUCCUCCAUCAAAUCCAAUUUGUCGUCUAGUCCUGGUUCACGUAGCAGCAAUAGAUUUUUCCGAUUUACUCCAAUUUUCACCGAGUUUUGUAGAAAAACUAGUAGAUUAUAAAUUUUUGCAACCGAUUCUUAGUUUAACAUAAACAAACUUUGACAGUUCGUAAAUACAAGAGAGUGUGGGAGAGAAUUUCGCUCUCGCAUUCAAGGUCACCUGUCGGAAAGUGAAUGCGUUUGGUUUCGAAUAGAUGAAUGGGUUAGAAUAGGGUAGCAUAGAUUUAGGCGCUGUAGAAUCAGCUUCAUUUACUUUGGAUAGUUUAGGGCGCGAUUCGAUAACCAUGUAUGCAUGUGUGUAUGAAUGAGUGGUGAGUAAAUAAAUUCGUUGGUCGAAGAUGUUUUCCAGUAGUAACUGGAGUUAUGAUCAAAUACGUUCGAAUAGUGUUUUCCGUAAGUAUACGGAGUUAUCAAUACGGUAUUUUUUCCGUUGGAGUACGGAGUAAUAAGUAUAGAUUUGAAUGAAAGGGACAUGAAUGAGAAUAAGGAAUGAUAGAUUUGAAUGGAAGUAAAUAAGAGCUGAUCUUACUGCGUAUUUUUUAAAGUUAUUUUGAGAAAGUAAUUACAAUACAUGAAUGAAUUUCCAGUAGAGUAUAAUAGUAAAAAUAUGUUUUUUGAGCUCUUUGAAAAAUAUAAUAAUAAUUAAUUGAAUAACAUAUAUAUAAAAUUGAAUUUUAGUAACCGAAUUAAAUUAUAUUGAUUGAAAAGUUAUGUAAAUUAUAAACCUAAUAAAAAUUUUGAAAUAAAAAUUUCAAAAUUUUUAUUAAUUUAGCAUGGUCGAAUGUAACGUUUACUUUACAACCAUUUACCCUUUGACUAUUAUAAAUCAAUCGCCUAUCGUUAUACUGCAAAUGGCUUAAGCUACUCGAAACCCUACCAACAUUAUCCAAUCCAAAUCUGCUCGAAUGUGGAACUUGAAUGUGUAGGCGAGAGUAACGAAAUUAUAUUAAAUUUCCACGACGCAAAAUGAUGCAAUUGGUUCGCUCAAGGACACUGCGGAUAACGAUUAGGUUUCGUUAAUUUACGGCGCAAAUACAUUUGAAUGUCUACUCUAAAGUCUUGGGACUACAAAAGAGUAGCCAUCUUAUUCAAAUCACUUUAGUUGGAGUGCUUGAAUAGCUCGGAUCGUUUUUUAAGAAAAGUGAAUUUUUCCAAAUAUUUCAACACGUGUUCAAUUGGUUUAAUAGUUAAAGUUGAACUAGCAAAGAAAAGUAAGUGCCAUCAAAACGAAUAGUAGCAUUUGUAAUUAAAUUAAUCUUAAACGCAUUUAGGGAUUAAUUGAAGACUAGAAUUAAUAAAAAGCCUAGCAUAUUUUGUGGAAUGAAAUAAGCAACGGUUAAGAAAAGCCCAGAUUCCCAUUAACGUGGGAGCUGGUGCUGGAUCGGAAAGUCCUCCGAACUCGGAUCGGAUUGUAAAUUCCAGCAGUUCGCGCUUAGUAAGUGGUGAAUUCGUGGUGUUUUAUGCAACCAGCAAUACAACCGCACUCCAAGGACACGGAAACGCUUCCAAUCCGUGAGCUGUGAGCAACCACCCACCACCCGUCGGAAAAUCUGUUCUACCGAAAUCCGAUUAGGCGCCGAACGAUUCUAACCUCUCUUCGUCAAGCCGAGAGAGUGAGCGAGUCGCGUACGCGCCACGCGCGAGGGAGAGUAUGUGUGGAGCGAGAACAUAACCACACAAAUAGGUGCGGAAUUCGUCGCCCCGUCUCGUCGUCGAGGAGCUGUGUA